ACCCGUUUCGCUCAGCCCUCGUGACGUCAGAGCUGCGGCGACCAAAGCUGCUCUCAUGGACUUCGAUACGACGGCGUU
rnacentral:sRNA from 1 species